rnacentral:rRNA from 1 species
CAGCCGCCGCGGGAAUACGUAGGUGGCAAGCGUUGUCCGGAAUUAUUGGGCGUAAAGGGCUCGCAGGCGGUUUCUUAAGUCUGAUGUGAAAGCCCCCGGCUCAACCGAGGAGGGUCAUUGGAAACUGGGAAACUUGAGUGCAGAAGAGGAGAGUGGAAUUCCACGUGUAGCGGUGAAAUGCGUAGAGAUGUGGAGGAACACCAGUGGCGAGGGCGACUCUCUGGUCUGUAACUGACGCUGAGGAGCGAAAGCGUGGGGAGCGAACAGGAUUAGAUACCCCCGUAGUCCCUGUCUCUUAUAC